rnacentral:rRNA from 1 species
AGAUUGAACGCUGGCGGCAGGCCUAACACAUGCAAGUCGAGCGGCAGCACGGGUACUUGUGCCUGGUGGCGAGCGGCGGACGGGUGAGUAAUGCCUAGGAAUCUGCCUGGUAGUGGGGGAUAACGCUCGGAAACGGACGCUAAUACCGCAUACGUCCUACGGGAGAAAGCAGGGGACCUUCGGGCCUUGCGCUAUCAGAUGAGCCUAGGUCGGAUUAGCUAGUUGGUGAGGUAAUGGCUCACCAAGGCGACGAUCCGUAACUGGUCUGAGAGGAUGAUCAGUCACACUGGAACUGAGACACGGUCCAGACUCCUACGGGAGGCAGCAGUGGGGAAUAUUGGACAAUGGGCGAAAGCCUGAUCCAGCCAUGCCGCGUGUGUGAAGAAGGUCUUCGGAUUGAAAGCACUUUAAGUUGGAGGAAGGCAGUUACCUAAUACGUAUCUGUUUUGACGUUACCACAGAAUAAGCACCGGCUAACUCUGUG